GACGAACGCUGGCGGCGUGCUUAACACAUGCAAGUCGAACGGAAAGGCCCUGCUUGCAGGGUACUCGAGUGGCGAACGGGUGAGUAACACGUGGGUGAUCUGCCCUGCACUUCGGGAUAAGCCUGGGAAACUGGGUCUAAUACCGGAUAGGAGCCAUUUUUAGUGUGAUGGUUGGAAAGUUUUUUCGGUGUAGGAUGAGCUCGCGGCCUAUCAGCUUGUUGGUGGGGUAAUGGCCUACCAAGGCGGCGACGGGUAGCCGGCCUGAGAGGGUGGACGGCCACAGUGGGACUGAGAUACGGCCCAGACUCCUACGGGAGGCAGCAGUGGGGAAUAUUGCACAAUGGGCGCAAGCCUGAUGCAGCGACGCCGCGUGGGGGAUGACGGCCUUCGGGUUGGAAACUCCUUUCGCUAGGGACGAAGCUUUUUGUGACGGUACCUAGAUAAGAAGCACCGGCUAACUACGUG
rnacentral:rRNA from 1 species